rnacentral:lncRNA from 1 species
GGAACGGAAAUUAACAUUUCAGGCAACGUCUCACAUUGUUCCUUGAGGCCAAGGACUGCUGUUGCAGCCGCCACCGCCACCGCUUCCCUCCCACCCGCCCCCCGGUCCCGCCUCCCCUCCCCCCGAGACGACACCCCCGCGCCGCUGCCCCGCAUUCCUGCCCCUCCGCGGGCCCACGCGCGCCGCCUGCACCCCCGGCGCCCCCACUCUCCCUUCACGACUCGGGCUCGCCCGCCCCCUCCGGCUCGGAGCCCGAGAGCCGCCUGCUCCCGUUUCAAAACAGUGAUAAUAAUAGGGACGCUGGGAAUAACAACUACAACCCACAGCGCGGAGGCCCCCGCCCCGGGUCAGAGGUCGGCGCACCCGCACCCCAGGCGCCCGGGGCCCCCGCCCCCCGAGCGCAGCCUCCAGCCCUCGCGGCAGCCCCGGGCCGCCCCGGCCCCCCCGGCGCGCUGCACGGCCGCCGGGCCCCCCGCCCCGCCCGGAGACCCCCGUCUGUCCCCUCGCGGCGGCCCCCGGCGCCCAGCCCCACCCGGAGCCCCACCCGGAGCCCCUCGCGGCCGCCCCCGGGCCCCCCGGCCCAUCGGGAGACCCUCGCGGCGGCCCCGAGCCCCCCAGGAGCCCCGGGAGCCCCCCUCGCGGCCACCCGGGCCCCCCAGGCCAGCCCGAAACCGCCAGUCGGGCCCUCACGGCGGCCCAGGCGGCCCAGGCGCCCCAGGAGCCCCCGGAGCCCGCGUCAGCCGCUCACGGCGGCCCGGACCCCCCGGAGCCCCAGGUCGGCCCCUCAGGCCCCCGGGCCCGCCGGCGCCCGUCGCGCUGCUCCGCCCGGAGGGGAGGCCUGCAGGCCGCACGGCGGCCCCGUGCCCCCGCGCCCGCCCCGACCCCCGGCCCGGCCCGCGGCGGCUCUCACCGGCUCCCGGCUGCACUGCUCCGCGGGCUCCGCGGGCUCAGCGGCGGCGCGCGGGCGAGGCCAUGCAGCCCCGGCCCGUCUCCCGGCCCGAGCGGGAAGGCGGCGGCGGCGGGCUCCGAGCGCCGGCGAAGCGGCGAGGCCGGCGGGAGGCGAGCCCGCCCCUCGGGCGCGGCCAGGCUCGGGCGGCGCCGCGGCGGCGCGGGCGCUCACUGAAGGGACGUCGGGCCGCGCGCUCGGCGGCGGCGCCUCCCCGCCUGGGGCCCUCGCUCCAUCGCGCUCCGGCUCCGCGGCCUCUGGCUCCGGGACCCGGCGGCGGCUGCGGCGGGCGCCGGCCGCAUGAGACGCCGCCGCCCAUUGGCCCGCCGUAUCCGCCUCCGCCAUUGGCCCGCUGCGGCCGGGCACAGGGCUGCGCACGUCACGGCGUCGGGGAGGAAGUGCGCCGGCGGGGGUGA